rnacentral:rRNA from 1 species
AUGAAACACUCCUACGGGAGGCAGCAGUGGGGAAUUUUGGACAAUGGGGGCAACCCUGAUCCAGCAAUGCCGCGUGAUUGAAGAAGGCCUUCGGGUUGUAAAGCUCUUUUGUCAGGGAAGAAAACGCAUGGGUUAAUACCCUGUGUGGAUGACGGUACCGGAAUAAGAAGCACCGGCUAACUACGUGCCAGCAGCCGCGGUAAUACGUAGGGUGCGAGCGUUAAUCGGAAUUACUGGGCGUAAAGCGUGCGCAGGCGGUUUUGUAAGACAGGCGUGAAAUCCCCGGGCUUAACCUGGGAACUGCGUUUGUGACUGCAAGGCUAGAGUACGGCAGAGGGGGGUGGAAUUCCACGUGUAGCAGUGAAAUGCGUAGAGAUGUGGAGGAACACCAAUGGCGAAGGCAGCCCCCUGGGUCGAUACUGACGCUCAUGCACGAAAGCGUGGGUAGCAAACAGGAUUAGAAACCCCAGUAGUCCGAAGUUC